rnacentral:rRNA from 1 species
CCUACGGGAGGCAGCAGUGAGGAAUAUUGGUCAAUGGUCGGGAGACUGAACCAGCCAAGCCGCGUGAGGGAUGAAGGUACAGAGUAUCGUAAACCUCUUUUGUCAGGGAACAAAGGCGGGGACGUGUCCCCGGAUGAGUGUACCUGAAGACAAAGCAUCGGCUAACUCCGUGCCAGCAGCCGCGGUAAUACGGAGGAUGCGAGCGUUAUCCGGAUUUAUUGGGUUUAAGGGGUGCGCAGGCGGUCUGUUAAGUCCGCGGUAAAAGCCCGGGGCCCACCCCCGGCCCGCCGUUGAAACUGGCAGUCUCGAGUUGGAGAGAAGUAUGCGGAAUGCGCGGUGUAGCGGUGAAAUGCAUAGAUAUCGCGCAGAACUCCGAUUGCGAAGGCAGCAUGCCGGCUCCACACUGACGCUGAGGCACGAAAGCGUGGGUAUCGAACAGGAUUAGAUACCCUUGUAGUC